GAAUCCCGUCUUUGACACGGACUACCAGUGCUGUGUGAUGCGCUCUCGACGAGUCGAGUUGUUUGGGAAUGCAGCUCAAAAUGGGUGGUGAACUCCAUCUAAAGCUAAAUAUUGGCGAGAGACCGAUAGCGAACAAGUACCGUGAGGGAAAGAUGAAAAGCACUUUGGAAAGAGAGUGAAACAGUACGUGAAAUUGUUGAAAGGGAAACGCUUGAAGUCAGUCGCGUCGGCCGAGACUCAGCCUUGCCUCGGCUUGGUGUACUUCUUGACCGACGGGUCAGCAUCAAUUUUGCCCCUUGGAUAAUGGCGAGGGAAAUGUGACACCUUUAUAGGUGUGUUAUAGUCUCUCGUCGCAUGCAGCGGCUGGGAUUGAGGAACUCAGCACGGCCCUUGCGAGAGGGCGAUUGGAGGGAGACCUCACAACUUACGUGCUUAGGAUGCUGGCAUAAUGGCUUUAAUCGACCCGUCUUGAAACACGGACCAAGGAGUCUAACAUGCCUGCGAGUGUUUGGGUGGUGAAAACUCAUGCGCGCAAUGAAAGUGAUGGUUGAGAUCCCUGUCAUGGGGAGCAUCGACGCCCAGACCAGACCUUUUGCGACGGAUCUGCGGUAGAGCAUGCAUGUUGGGACCCGAAAGAUGGUGAACUAUGCCUGAAUAGGGUGAAGCCAGAGGAAACUCUGGUGGAGGCUCGUAGCGAUUCUGACGUGCAAAUCGAUCGUCAAAUUUGGGUAUAGGGGCGAAAGACUAAUCGAACCAUCUAGUAGCUGGUUCCUGCC
rnacentral:rRNA from 1 species